UAACAAACGGAAAACUCGGUCUUCCGAUUCGCAUGGUUUAACCUCUUCUGCACCGGGUCGCUGCCGUCACUUCACUUCCCCUUUGUGGUUCUCGUCACCGCUUAUAUAGUUUCCUCCAGCCUAAAUAUUACACUGGACAAGUCUUGGGGGUAUCUUCAAUCAGAUGGAACAAUGGAUGGUUUAGUGGGUGACCUUCAACGAAGGAAAAUUGACUUUGGAUUGUCCCCAUUAUUCGUGAAGAAGGAUAGACUUAAAUUUAUCAGUUACGGUAGAAGAACUUACAAUUUAAGGGCCGCAUUCAUACUUAGAAAUCCAAAAUCAAGAAGGUCUUUCGAAAUAUUUUUUAAACCUCUCUCCGUGGAUGUAUGGAUGUCUAUCAUAGUGUGUUCUAUCUUGUGUGUGUUGGCUCAAAAAAUUGGAUUUACAGAGGACAAUAAGUCUGCACGAAUCGCAAAUGAUGUAUCAUGGAGUUUUAGUACAAUUUGCACUUUCGGAGCAUUUUGUCAGCAAGGUAA